rnacentral:rRNA from 1 species
AUUGAACGCUGGCGGCAGGCCUAACACAUGCAAGUCGAGCGGAUGAAGGGAGCUUGCUCCUGGAUUCAGCGGCGGACGGGUGAGUAAUGCCUAGGAAUCUGCCUGGUAGUGGGGGAUAACGUCCGGAAACGGGCGCUAAUACCGCAUACGUCCUGAGGGAGAAAGUGGGGGAUCUUCGGACCUCACGCUAUCAGAUGAGCCUAGGUCGGAUUAGCUAGUUGGUGGGGUAAAGGCCUACCAAGGCGACGAUCCGUAACUAGUCUGAGAGGAUGAUCAGUCACCCGGGAACGGAGAACCGGCCCAAAUCCCUAGGGGGGGCAGGAGUGGGAAAUUUUGACAAAGGGGCGAAAGCCGAACCAAGCCAGGCGGGGUGGGGGAAGAAGGUCUGCGGUUUGUAAAGCACUUUAAGUGGGGAGGAAGGGCAGUAAGUUAAAACCUUGCUUUUUUGGCUUUACCAAAAAAAAAAGCACCGGCAAACUUCGU